rnacentral:rRNA from 1 species
UGGGGAAUUUUGGACAAUGGGCGCAAGCCUGAUCCAGCCAUGCCGCGUGCGGGAAGAAGGCCUUCGGGUUGUAAACCGCUUUUGUCAGGGAAGAAAUCUUCUGAGUUAAUACCUCGGGAGGAUGACGGUACCUGAAGAAUAAGCACCGGCUAACUACGUGCCAGCAGCCGCGGUAAUACGUAGGGUGCAAGCGUUAAUCGGAAUUACUGGGCGUAAAGCGUGCGCAGGCGGUUUUGUAAGACAGAGGUGAAAUCCCCGGGCUCAACCUGGGAACUGCCUUUGUGACUGCAAGGCUUGAGUGCGGCAGAGGGGGAUGGAAUUCCGCGUGUAGCAGUGAAAUGCGUAGAUAUGCGGAGGAACACCGAUGGCGAAGGCAAUCCCCUGGGCCUGCACUGACGCUCAUGCACGAAAGCGUGGGGAGCAAACAGGAUUAGAUAGCCCUGGUAGUCCACGCCCUAAACGAUGUCAACUGGUUGUUGGGAAGGUUCCUUCUCAGUAACGUAGCUAACGCGUGAAGUUGACCGCCUGGGGAGUACGGCCGCAAGGUUGAAACUCAAAUGAAUUGACGGGGUCA